UGUACCACCUCCGAAAUGCGUCAUGCAUCAUGUUUGUUUUACUUUAGCGUCGUUGACAACCUCAAAGUCGUGCCCAGUGCUCUUACAAUUCUAUAUUAUUGCUUGUUUUGUGUGCCCUCUCUGUCCGGAGUAAAAGAAAAUUCUGCUGCUUGCUUUUCAUCUUUCAGGAAACGGCUGCUUAAACAUCCUAGUCAGCACAACCUCCAUGUAAUUUCUUAUAAAUUAGAAUUCCUUUAGUAUGCUUGCUAAAGAGCUGUCGACGCAUAGCAACGGGUCAUAUUGGACAUUACUUUGCAUGGUUUGAUAAAUCACAUAGAAAAUAUUCAUUAUGCAAAAUUCACAUAUAGAUAUAUAUUUCUACAAGAAGGUGAUAGUUUUGCUGCCGCAACGUAUUCAAUGGAUAAAGUAAGCAAUGUAGCAUCAACUAUCUACUUGGUAGUUUGUUACAGAAAUCAGGUGUCAUUUAACUUUUACCAGGCAAUGUAUAAUCCUCCCUAACCAUUUUCUUUUUUUUUUCAGGUCAUGUAACACAAAACUUAAAGCACGAAAUUGUAUUUUUGGAUGAAACCCACCACUGUGCCGUGAUUCUAGUCCUGCCAAUGUCUGACUUUGCGGGACGAAGAAGCAUGGAACUGCGAGUCUGGAACUCGUCCAUUCAUACUGGCCCAUCCCAUAAAUGUUUAAAGCACUACUACAGCGUAGAAAGUCACGGACAUGUCAUUUACAAACCCUACUGCCAGAAGUUAGUUUUGAACAAACACCCAUCUCUGCAGCCACACCAGCAGCUGCAAGGACAAAAGCAUUCGCUUACUAUAGCACAUAAACCCUCGGGGUAGCUUUGGCAUAAAAAUGGAAAGCACAUGGUAAAGUACUUACACAUAAAAUGUUUGUGUUGAAAUAAAGUACAGCUAACACUUGGA